rnacentral:snRNA from 1 species
GUGCUCACUUCAGCAGCACAUAUACUAAAACUGGAACGAUACAGAGAAGACUGGCCUGGACCUUGUGCAAGGAUGAUACACAAAUUCAUGAAGCGUUCCAUGUUUUU